GCACCGGCUCUUCGACCUGUACCACUACCUGCACAGCCGCGUGCACAGCCCCCAGCGGCCCCUGCGCCUGCUCUACCACGUGGCCGAGAAGGAAACGCUCCUGGCCUGGGUGACCAGCAAAUUCGAGCUGUACAGCUGCUUCAGCCCCCUGGUGACGAAGGCAGGAGCCAUCGCGGUGCUGACCAAGCUGCUGCGCUGGCUCAAGAAGGAGGAGGACUGGCUGUUCAUCCGCUACCCGGCCCCGUUCUGCGCCGCGCCCGCGCGCCCCGAGGGGGCCGAGCCCGAGGGCUGACAAUAAACACUGAGACCACAGGGAAGAGUCCUGAGUCGGGGGGACACGGGGGACACGUCCUGAGGGGUGAGGGGAGGGGGAGAGGGAACGUGAACAGGGGUGAGAGGGGACAGGGAAGGGGGAAAAGGGAACAGAAAAUGGGAGGGACGUGGGACAGAAAAUGGUGGGAACACCUGACAGAAAAGGGGGGACAGGAAAGGCUGGAAGAGGUAACAAGAAAUGGAGGGCAAUAAGGGACAAAAGAGAUGGGAAAGUGGACAAGAAAUGGAGGGAAAAGGGGACAGAAAAGAGGGAAGAGAAAAAGCUGGAAAAAGUUACUGGGAGUGAAAAAGGGAAAGAAAAUGGUGACAGGAAGGGAUGGGGCUGGGAAGGGGCACAGAAAAGCGGGGGAAAAUGGACAGAAAAUCAUGGGAAAACAUUAGGGG